rnacentral:sRNA from 1 species
CCGUGACCAAAAAGAAACUCAAAUGUCUCAGAAUAACCUAAACACUCACAAAACAUAAACCAAAACACAAACCAAACCAUGGCUAGCCAAAUUCAGCUCUGGAAGAGAUUCAAGAGUGUCUGUAAGUUAUUGACACUCUCCAUUCGGAGUUAAGCCGUUCCUAUGGCGAAAUCGUGGCCAUCCACAGUGAAAAUAUGGUUAUUUCAACUUUCCUUAACAACAUGAUGGAGGAGAGGAACGAGAAGCUUAUAGAGGAAAACAAGAAGCCCGAGGAGGGAAAGAAGAAGCUAAGAAGAAGCUCGAAGAAAACAAGAAGCCCGAGAAGAAAAAGAAGAAGCUCGAAGAGGAAAAGAAGAAGCUAAGAAGAAGCUCGAAGAAAACAAGAAGCCCGAGAAGGAAAAGAAGAAGCUCGAAGAGGAAAAGAAGAACGAGAAAGGUGAAAAAGAAAACAUGAAGAAAUUAUUUGACGAAGAGAAGAAAAGUUAGAGGAGCUGAAGGAGAAAGUGGUUUAUAUGGAGGCAGACAAACGGAAGAAUGGAAGAAUGUAUGGACGGAGAAUAGGUUGUUAAUUAGCUGUAAUGUUUUGGAGACGAGAAAUGGUUCCCGUGUGUUUCAGAGUAACCAAGCAAAAUACUCUGUUAAUCUUUGCAUGUGUGUUUCAGAGUAACCAAGCAAAAUACUCUGUUAAUUUUUGAAUGUGUUUAGACUUAGCAAGCAAUGAAAAUAAACACAUUAUGAC